GACGAACGCUGGCGGCGUGCUUAACACAUGCAAGUCGAACGGAAAGGCCCUGCUUUUGUGGGGUGCUCGAGGGGCGAAGGGGGGCGUAACACGUGAGUAACCUGCCCUUGACUUUGGGAUAACUUCAGGAAACUGGGGCUAAUACCGGAUAGCAGCUCCUGCUGCAUGGUGGGGGUUGGAAAGUUUCGGCGGUUGGGGAUGGACUCGCGGCUUAUCAGCUUGUUGGUGGGGUAGUGGCUUACCAAGGGUUUGACGGGUAGCCGGCCUGAGAGGGUGACCGGCCACAUUGGGACUGAGAUACGGCCCAGACUCCUACGGGAGACAGCAGUGGGGAAUAUUGCACAAUGGGACGAAGCCUGAGGCAGCAACGCCGCGGGCGGGAUGACGGCCUGCGGGUUGUGAACCGCUUUCGCCUGUGACGAAGCUUGAGUGACGGUAAUGGGUAAAGAAGCACCGGCUAACUACGUG
rnacentral:rRNA from 1 species